rnacentral:rRNA from 1 species
ACGAACGCUGGCGGCGCGCCUAACACAUGCAAGUCGAACGGAGUUCUUUUGAUGAAGUUUUCGGAUGGAUUCACUUGAACUUAGUGGCGGACGGGUGAGUAACACGUGAGCAACCUGCCUAUCAGAGGGGGAUAACGAUUGGAAACGAUCGCUAAUACCGCAUAACGCAGCGAGGAGGCAUCUUCAUGCUGCCAAAGAUUUAUCGCUGAUAGAUGGGCUCGCGUCCGAUUAGAUAGUUGGUGAGGUAACGGCCCACCAAGUCGACGAUCGGUAGCCGGACUGAGAGGUCGAGCGGCCACAUUGGGACUGAGACACGGCCCAGACUCCUACGGGAGGCAGCAGUGGGGGAUAUUGCACAAUGGGGGAAACCCUGAUGCAGCGACGCCGCGUGAGGGAAGACGGUCCUCUGGAUUGUAAACCUCUGUCUUCGGGGACGAAACGAGACGGUACCCGAGGAGGAAGCCACGGCUAACUACGUGCCAGCAGCCGCGGUAAUACGUAGGUGGCAAGCGUUGUCCGGAAUUACUGGGUGUAAAGGGAGCGUAGGCGGGCAGGCAAGUCAGGCGUGAAAGAUAUCGGCUCAACCGGUAGCUGCGCUUGAAACUGCAGGUCUUGAGUGAAGUAGAGGUUGGCGGAAUUCCUAGUGUAGCGGUGAAAUGCGUAGA